AUAGUCCCCUCGACACGACUGCGAGCGCACGGCGAGACUCGGCGGAUCCGUGUGUGCGGAAACUUGUACAGUUAUCGGCCCCUACUGCGGAACACGGUCCAAGUAGAACUUUGAUCGCAUCCUUUGGCCGUUCUUUGAUAUUCUAGGUUCCAGUUGCGGUGGAUGAUGAGACGUCUCGAUAGAGAUUGAUCUCGAAAUGAAACCGUGGAAAUUAUUCUGAGAAAUAAAUGUUUAGCUCGUAGAUUUGUUCCUAAGAGAAAGUACAGUCUAUUAUAUUGAGAUUUAUUUCUGUGAAAUUCUCUGUCUUUCGCUGAAUUGCUCAGUCUUGUCAGUUUGCCAAUUUUCUGAAUGUUCCAGUAAUGGAAUCCUCGUUUACGCUUCUAUUAUUGACGUUUAUUCCGCGUUUUCGUAAUUAACGCACAGAGAGCCGCAAUCGAAAACGUCGUCGGAUGCUUCAAAUUAAUUUAAUUAUGGCCUUAAUUCGUCCCUUUAAUUGUCCUUUACGCACUCAAGCUCGCGGAUGGCAACCGCGAAAGGAGAAUGACGCGUCGCGUCCCUCUCGGUUAACGGCGCGAGGCGCGGUGGGGGACGGGAAAUAAAUAGGUCCAGUCUCUCCAAAACAACGUGCGUAAUCUUAUCGCGCGCGUAUAUUCCGUGGAUUUUCAUGUUUGCACGGCGCGUUACGCACGUUGAACUUAUUUGCAUACCGUUCGGAUUAUCGCUGACGUUUUAUAUGGCACGAUAAAUAUACACGCUACGUGUAGUCCGAGCGUAGAAAUGAGAUUUCUCCUCUCAGUUUUUUUACAUUUUCGAUUCGACAUAACGGGAAGUACGAAAGGAACUUCCGCUCGAAGUUUAUUUGAAGAAGAAGAGAAUCAUGAUCUGAAAUAUACAGCAAGCAUUUGCCAACGCGUUGACCUUAGAGACUCGAGAGCUGUGAAUCUAAAAUCGAUUUGAUGUUCAACGCGUUCGAGUACGCGGCAGUAAAUGCAUUGACCGACUUUCCGAGGUGACCCUGAAUUGCCAAGACCAAUCUGGAAGGGAAGACAUAGCGACCACCGUCCCUCAUUCAUUGUCCACCGCAGGAGUGCAUUUCAGUGAGGUGUCUGGUUGCACAGGUUGCGCUUUGUGAUCCACAAUAAAGAGAAGAGCCUACUAUCUACUUCCUGCGAUAUUUAUUACCGAAGCACCGUCGACAGGGUGUCAGUUUGCCAUGCAUUCUGUAACGUUCGCGUGUUUUCGCUUACGGACGCGAUGGGUUCUUUGCUACGACGGAAAGCGUCUCGUGAAAAGAUGAUCGACAGCUGACACCGACAGCGAGAAGGCAGAAGAGUGAGAGACAUCGAACGAGUCGAGCAAAGAAGUCGCGAAGAAUAAGGUAAGAAAAUUCGAAAUUCUACCCUUUGGCCAUCAGCGCGAGCACCUGGCAGCAUAUGUGCCAAAUAUAAAAGGACGAACAUCUCUCUGCGGGCUGUUCUCUCCCCCUCUUGUCGCGAAUUUUGUACCUCGCUCGAUUCCCGCUCAGGAGAACCCGAAAAUUCUGCGCGACCACCGGUGCGUCUCGCCUGGCUUUCUUCGAGCGUCGAAAUUAACGGAAGCGCACCGCGUGUCGACCGAUGGUCGAUCAGCUGUUGACCGUGAUUGUUGCCAACUCUGCAUUUAUCUUUAUAGUAACUCUAAUCAUUGUAACUAUUGAUUGAUUAAAUUAUUGAUAAAUA